AUUGAACGCUGGCGGCAGGCCUAACACAUGCAAGUCGAACGAGUGGCGGACGGGUGAGUAAUGUCUGGGAACCUGCCCGAUGGAGGGGGAUAACUACUGGAAACGGUAGCUAAUACCGCAUACCAUCGGAUGUGCCCCGAUGGGAUUGGCUAGUAGGUGGGGUAACGGCUCACCUAGGCGACGAUCCCUAGCUGGUCUGAGAGGAUGACCGGCCACACUGGAACUGGGACACGGUCCAGACUCCUCCGGGAGGCAGCAGUGGGGAAUAUUGCACAAUGUGCGCAAGCCUGAUGCAGCCAUGCCGCGUGUAUGAAGGAGGCCUUCGGGUUGUAAGGUACGUUCAGCGAGGAGGCGUUACUCGCAGAAGAAGCACCGGCUAACGCCGUGCCGGCCGCCGCGGUAAUUC
rnacentral:rRNA from 1 species